rnacentral:rRNA from 1 species
AGUGAACGCUGGCGGUAGGCCUAACACAUGCAAGUCGAACGGCAGCACAGGAAGAGCUUGCUCUUACGGGUGGCGAGUGGCGGACGGGUGAGGAAUACAUCGGAAUCUACUUUUUCGUGGGGGAUAACGUAGGGAAACUUACGCUAAUACCGCAGACGACCUACGGGUGAAAGCAGGGGAUCUUCGGACCUUGCGCGAUUGAAUGAGCCGAUGUCGGAUUAGCUAGUUGGCGGGGUAAAGGCCCACCAAGGCGACGAUCCGUAGCUGGUCUGAGAGGAUGAUCCGCCCCACUGGCCCUUCUCCGCCGUCCCUCCUCCUACGGUCUCCCGCCGUUCUUCCUCUUGUCCAAUGGGCUCCCUCCUCCUCCAUCCAUACCGCGUGGGUGAAGCAUUCCUUCCGGUUGUACAGCCCUUUUGUUGGGACACAACCUCCUCAGGUUAAUACCCCGCUCUUCUGACGGUACCCAAAGAAUAAGCACCGGCUAACUUCGUG